GGCGUAGGCAGCAGCGUGUGUCGGGCGUGAAAUCCCACGGCUCAACCGUGGAAGUGCACUCGAAACUGCGCAGCUAGAGUCUCGGAGAGGAAGGCGGAAUGCUUGGUGUAGAGGUGAAAUUCGUAGAUAUCAAGCGGAACACCGGUGGCGAAGGCGGCCUUCUGGACGAUGACUGACGCUGAAGCGCGAAAGCGUGGGAGCAAACA
rnacentral:rRNA from 1 species